CUGAAUGUUCGUGUCCCCCCUCUAAUUUCUUGUUGAAAUCUUACCCCCAGUGUGAUAGUAUUAGGAUGUGGGGCCUUUGGGAGGUAGUUUAAGUCCUGAGGGUGCAGCUUUCGUGAAUGGGAUUAGUACCCCUAUAAAUGAAAUCCCAAAGGGCUCUCUGUGAAGAUAUAAUGAGAAGAUGGCUUUCUGCAACCUGAAAGGUGGCCAUCCUGGAAACCUACUGUGAGGGCACCCUGAUCUCAGCUUUCAGCCUCCAGAACUAUGGGAAAUAAAUUGUUAUGCCUAAGCCACUCAGGCUGUGGUGUUUUGUGGUAGCAGCCUGAAUGGACUAAGUCAUGGAGCCAUAGGAACAGCCAGGUCAAAUGUACCACUGGUAUCUUCCUCGGGUUCUCCAAUUCCCUUUUUGUGUCUGCCUUUGAUUUUAUUGAGACUAAAAGAUUGAACACGGAAAGGCGACACUUAUGGCCUUUGUGGUCCCCAGGAGUCCUGCAAGUCUUGACAGCCAGACACAGUCAGGGCCGCUGUACGUACUGUGUCUGCUACGUGUCACAGCCAACCUGUCCUUCUUCAGUGAAGGGGUGGGAGGCGUGUCCAGAACUAACAGAUGCCUCUUUACCGUGCGCUGUGCACACCUGCUCAUAAGGUAUCUCGUUGUAACUGUCACUUUCCAUUUCAGGUCUUGUUGGAUGAGCCUGAGUCUGUGAGACGGGGGUCCAGGCUGGUCUCGAACUCCUGAGCUCAAGCAAUCCUUCUGCCUCAGCCUCCUGAGUGCCAGUUUUCUUCUUGUUAAAUGGGUGGAGAAUCACUCCUGCCUGGAUUAUUCCAGAUUAUUCUCAGGAAUAGAUCAAAUUAACGGAUAAAAUGAAUUCAUUAAAAGUUUAAAAUACUAGGCAAAUGAAAGCUAUGGUUGCUAUUAUAACGGUUAUUGGUACUUUUAUUAUUACUCUCCCUAUUUUCAUAGAAUCCAAAUGCAAUUUGGAAUUUUUAUGUGACCUCAAUGCAAGGGAAAACAGAAUGUGUG
rnacentral:lncRNA from 13 species